AAUGCAGGUUCGACCUUUUCACUAUAGAUCUUGUGGAGGUAGGGUGUUCUUUUGUGUGGGUUUGGGUGUUGGCGGCAAGAAUGAAAAGAGCUAGAACCUUUUUGUUUUUUAGGAAAGAUGUUUCUGGGAAGGGUAGUGGAAGGGGCAGCUGUUGUAACAGCGUUUCUCCGCGUCGCCUGUGUCCACGUGAGCUUUGUGGCUGACGCUGCGGCCGCGUGUUGGGCAUCUCGCUGAGCAGAAUCCGGCCGCCGUGGACCGAAGGUCGCGGAUCGCGUGUUUUUCAGGCAGGGCCAUCGCGGCAGGUGCCUGGGGUUCGCAAAAUUAAGAAACCCGGAACCCCGGCCCGCCAUGAGGAGUGUGCAAACAUGAGGAAACUGGAUGGCCGAUUUAAUACAGAAUAUCGAAGGGAGCGGCCUAUCAUAAGGUUGCAAAAGGAACACCUGCAGCUGAGUAACGGGAGUCUGCGACAUUGGCCUUUCAUGAAGUUUCAGACUUGGUUGCAGCACUUCAGCCCAGGGUGAGGCUGUAUCCCCCAUAGGAUGGUCAGUUCCAGGGAUCAGUAACCACCAUUGAUUUGGAUUCUGGAAACGUAAACGCCUUCAACAUUUGGAAACAUGCUCAUCUUAUGUAUCAGGCUGUUCUCAACAGAGUCAAGAUUAUCUGGCAGCUUUAUCUAGGACAGGCCCGUUUGGUGUUCUUCCCUGCCCAACAAGAGCUUCUAUACCUUUUAAUAAAUUUUAUGUGUACAAAUUAGUUGCUCUUAUAUUGGAAGGGUGAGAUCUUUAAGCUGGACACUGUUAUCUUGCUUCAAUGUAAUGUCUGAUUUACCUUCAACUAGUACCAUAAUAAACAACAGUCUUUGGUGUCGGUUCUUAAAAAUGCAUACUUG